ensembl:lncRNA
CACAUAGCUGGUUGGAGGUCACCCUGCCCCUUAUUCCUGGGCCAGGGCACCUGUCUUGCUCCAGCGGAGCCACCAAUGACCCCUGAUCCUGGUGACCACUCUGCAGGAGCUGUGGAGCCAGGACUCUUCACAUGCUUCACUUUUACUGUAUACCUUGAUGACAUCAAGAUGCCACAUCAAGCAACUGACCUGCACCAUCUCUAGAGAAUGUCUUACUAUACAGCACAGAUUGGCUUCAAGCUGCAAGUCCUUCUAUCCCAGCAUCUUAGUUACUUUCUGAUGUUGUGAUAAGACACCAUGACCAAGGCAACUUAUAGAAGAAAGAGUUUCUUUGGGGAUUGCAGUUUCAGACGGUUAAAGUCCAUGACCAUCUCGGAAGUAGACAGGCAGCCGUGGCACUGGAGCAGUAGUUGAAAGCUUACAUCUUAAGACAUGACCAUGAGACAGAAAGAGCUAACUGGAAAUCUCUGUGAUGGCUGUUUUUGGUUGUCAACUUGACUAUAUCUGAAAUGAACUACAAUCCAGAAAUGGAGGGCACACCUGUGAUCUGGACCUUGAGGCUCAAAAACACAGAUUUUUGAGCCAGAUCUUGCGGCAGGAAGAUGAACCUUUAAUCUGGUCUAUACCUUCUGCUGGAAAACUAUUUAAAGACAAUGGAAGAGAGAGGGUUUCCUUCUUCUUUGCCUGCUUGCCCUUGCCUAGCCAGUAAGUACAUCCAUUCCUUCACUGGCAUUGGAGCCUACUUCUUCUGGAUUCCAGGUUAUACGGAAGACCAACUGAGACACCCAGCUCCGUGGGACUGAGAAAUUACUCUCGGGCUUUCCAUUGUUGGGUUAGUUGACUGCAGCCUGUACAUCAUUCCAAUAAAUUCCACAUAUAUGUAUGUAUAUAUCUAUAGAUAGAGAAUCAGAAACAGAGACAGAGACACACACACACACAGAGAGAGAGAGAGAGAGAGAGAGAGAGAG